GAAGAGCGUAAUGGCAUAAGGGUGCUUGACUGCAAGACCGACAAGUCGAGCAGGUACGAAAGUAGGACAUAGUGAUCCGGUGGUUCCGAAUGGAAGGGCCAUCGCUCAAAGGAUAAAAGGUACUCCCGGGAUAACAGGCUGAUCACUCCCAAGAGCUCACAUCGACGGAGUGGUUUGGCACCUCGAUGUCGGCUCGUCACAUCCUGGGGCUGGAGAAGGUCCCAAGGGUUGGGCUGUUCGCCCAUUAAAGUGGCACGCGAGCUGGGUUCAGAACGUCGCAAGACAGUUCGGUCUCUAUCUGCUGUGGGCGUUAGAAAUUUGCGUGAAUCUGACUCUAGUACGAGAGGACCG
rnacentral:rRNA from 1 species